rnacentral:rRNA from 1 species
CUUGGCAAACUUGAAGGAGAGCUUGAUGCUCAACAGUUGAUUGACACGGGUGCUAAUGUGCAUGUAUGCGGUGAUAUUUCCAUGUUUUCGUCUUAUCAGACCGUAGGGACUUCAACCGUGCUGAUGGAAAUAACUCCAUUCGAGGAAUGUGACAAGAAAAGGUUAAAACUCUCUUAUCUACGAACAUGGGGUUGUUUGGCGAAAGAAGCGGUUCGUAGCGAGAUGGAUUCCAUCUUGGCAAAUGAAACUUGGGAGAUAAGUGAUCGUCCUUAUCGGUGCAAACCUAUAGGAUGCAAAUGGGUAUUCAAGAAGAAGCUUAGGCCUGAUGGUACUAUUGAAAAGUACAAGGCUCGGCUCGUGGCUAAGGGUUACACCCAAAAGGAAGGUGAAGACUUCUUUGAUACUUACUCACCUGUGGCUCGACUGACCACUAUUCGAGUUCUACUUUCACUAGCUGCCUCACAUGGUCUUCUCGUUCAUCAAAUGGAUGUUAAGACUGCUUUCCUAAAUGGAGAGUUGGACGAGGAAAUUUAUAUGGAACAACCUGAUGGGUUUGUACUAGAUGGUCAGGAAGAAAAAGUGUGCAAGUUGCUGAAGUCUUUGUAUGGACUCAAGCAAGCACCCAAACAGUGGCAUGAGAAGUUUGAAAGAACUUUAACAGCUGCAGGCUUUGUUGUAAACGAAGCUGACAAAUGUGUGUACUAUCACCAUGGUGGGGGCGAGGGAGUUAUCCUUUGCUUGUAUGUUGACGACAUACUGAUUUUCGGAACAAAUCUGAAUGUUAUUAAGGAGGUCAAGGAUUUCCUAUCUCGCUGUUUUGAGAUGAAGGAUUUAGGAGUGGCUGAUGUCAUUCUGAACAUCAAGUUGUUGAGAAACGAUGAUGGUGGGAUUACAUUGCUUCAAUCUCACUAUGUGGAAAAGAUCUUGAGUCGCUUUGGCUAUAGUGACUGCAAGAUUAUUGGCUCGCUUAUGUACUUAGCCAGUGCUACAAGACCUGACAUCUCUUUUGCUGUUAGCAAACUGAGUCGGUUUGUCUCAAAACCAGGAGAUGUGCAUUGUAAAGCUCUAGAGAGAGUUUUGCGUUAUUUGAAAGGCACUGCGAAUUAUGGAAUUUACUACACCGGGCACCCAAAGGUGCUUGAAGGGUAUAGUGACUCAAACUGGAUCUCAGAUGCUGAUGAGAUAAAGGCCACGAGCGGCUCAAAGGAUAACAUGAAGUCAUCAAGACACGUUCAGAGAAGGUUAAAGUCUGUCAGGAAAAUGAGAAACUCCGGAGUUAUUGCAUUGGAUUAUAUCCAAACAUCUAAAAAUCUGGCAGAUCCUUUUACUAAGGGUCUAUCACGUAAUGUGAUAGAUAAUGCAUCGAGGGAGAUGGGUAUGAGACCCACA